GAUGAACGCUGGCGGCGUGCCUAAUACAUGCAAGUCGAGCGAACAGACGAGGAGCUUGCUCCUCUGACGUUUGUCGCGGACGGGUGAGUAACACGUGGAUAACCUACCUAUAAGACUGGGAUAACUUCGGGAAACCGGAGCUUAUACCGGAUAAUAUAUUGAACCGUAUGGUUCAAUAGUGAAAGACGGUUUUGCUGUCACUUAUAGAUGGAUCCGCGCCGCAUUAGCUAGUUGGUAAGGUAACGGCUUACCAAGGCGACGAUGCGUAGCCGACCUGAGAGGGGGAUCGCCCACACUGGAACGGGAACACGGUCCAGACGCCUACGGGAGGCAGCAGUAGGGAAUCUUCCGCAAAGGGCGAAAGCCUGACGGAGCAACGCGGCGUGAGUGAUGAAGUUCUUCGGAUCGUAAAACUCUGUUAUUGGGGAAGAACAAAUGUGUAAGUAACUGUGCACGUCGUGACGGUACCUAAUCAGAAAGCCACGGCUAACUACGUG
rnacentral:rRNA from 1 species